UGGCUAAUGUGUCUUGGCUAAUGUAACUUGGCUAAUGUGUCUUGGCUAAUGUGUCUUGGCUAAUGUGUCUUGGCUAAUGUAACUUGGCUAAUGUGUCUUGGCUAAUGUGUCUUGGCUAAUGUGUCUUGGCUAAGGUGUCUUGGCUAAGGUGUCUUGGCUAAGGUGUCUUGGCUAAUGUGUCUUGGCUAAUGUGUCUUGGCUAAGGUGUCUUGGCUAAUGUGUCUCGGCUAAUGUGUCUUGGCUAUGGUGUCUCGGCUAAGGUGUCUUGGCUAAUGUGUCGUGACUAAUGUGUCUUGGCUAAGGUGUCUUGGCUAAUGUGUCUUGGCUAAUGUGUCUUGGCUAAUGUGUCUUGGCUAAGGUGUCUUGGCUAAGGUGUCUUGGCUAAGGUGUCUUGGCUAAUGUGUCUUUGCUAAUGUGUCUUGGCUAAUGUGUCUUGGCUAAUGUGUCUUGGCUAACGUGUCUUGGCUAAGGUGUCUCGGCUAAUGUGUCUUGGCUAAGGUGUCUUGGCUAAUGUGUCUUGGCUAAUGUGUCUUGGCUAAGGUGUCUUGGCUAAGGUGUCUCGGCUAAUGUGUCUUGGCUAAUGUGUCUUGGCUAAGGUGUCUUGGCUAAUGUGUCUUGGCUAUUGUGUCUUGGCUAAGGUGUCUUGGCUAAUGUGUCUUGGCUAAUGUGUCUUGGCUAAGGUGUCUUGGCUAAGGUGUCUUGGCUAAUGUGUCUUGGCUAAAGUGUCUUGGCUAAGGUGUCUUGGCUAAGGUGUCUUGGCUAAUGUGUCUCGGCUAAGGUGUCUUGGCUAAUGUGUCUUGGCUAAUGUGUCUCGGCUAAUGUGUCUUGGCUAAGGUGUCUUGGCUAAGGUGUCUUGGCUAAGGUGUCUUGGCUAUUGUGUCUUGGCUAAGGUGUCUUGGCUAAUGUGUCUUGGCUAAUGUGUCUUGGCUAAGGUGUCUUGGCUAAGGUGUCUUGGCUAAUGUGUCUCGGCUAAAGUGUCUUGGCUAAGGUGUCUUGGCUAAGGUGUCUUGGCUAAUGUGUCUCGGCUAAGGUGUCUUGGCUAAUGUGUCUUGGCUAAUGUGUCUUGGCUAAGGUGUCUUGGUUUAUGUGUC